GCGGUACUCGAUAAGGAAGUGAUGUGAGAUGACAUAUGAAGGUUUUGCUACACAAGAGAAAAGCUUAACUUGCGAGAGAGAAAGUAAGAAGGGGAAAUCACACUAAAAAGGAAAAAGCUUAACUGGGGAGAGAGAAAGUAAGAAGAGGAUCGUACAACAAAAAGGAAAGGAGGAAAAGAUAUACAUGGUUGUCUCAAAAGUUUGAAAAUUGGAAAGAGUAACUACAGAUCUGCCGCCACUUGGCAAUAUGGUGUAAGUUUAAGGAGUGCCUUAGAG
rnacentral:lncRNA from 1 species